rnacentral:rRNA from 2 species
GGACUACUGGGGUUUCUAAUCCCGUUUGCUCCCCUGGCUUUCGCGCCUCAGCGUCAGUAGAGAUCCAGCGUGCCGCUUUCGCCACCGGUGUUCCUUCCGAUAUCUACGCAUUUCACCGCUCCACCGGAAGUUCCGCACGCCCCUAUCUCCCUCCAGACAAGCAGUAUCGGGGGCCCUUCCACGGUUGAGCCGUGGGCUUUCACCUCCGACUUGCCUGCCCGCCUACGCGCCCUUUAAGCCCAAUGAUUCCGAAUAACGUUCGCACGGUUCGUCUUACCGCGGCUGCUGGCAC